AUUCCAUUAUUUAAAUCCUAUUUGGAUAACUGUAGUAAUUCUAGAGCUAAUACAUGCAAAAAACCUGAACUUUACAGAACGGGUGUACUUAUUAGAUAUUAAAACCGAUUACAAUUUAUUGUAUACUUAAAAUGAUUUAAAAUAAGUUUAUGAAUCGCAGAUCAUUUUGUGAUGAUAAGAAUGAAUUUCUGCCCUAUCAACUUUCGAUGGUAAUGUAGAGGAUUACCAUGGUGAUGACGGGUAACGGGGAAUUAGGGUUUGAUUCCGGAGAAAAGGCCUGAGAGACGGCCAUUACUUCUAAGGAAGGCAGCAGGCGCGUAAAUUACCCAAUCCUAAUACGGGGAGGUAGUGACAAGAAAUAUUGAUAUUGGACCCAAAGGGUACAAUGAUUGAAAUGAGAACAAUAUAAAAAACUUAACGACUAACAAUUGGAGGGCAAGUCUGGUGCCAGCAGCCGCGGUAAUUCCAGCUCCAAGAGUGUAUAUUAAAGUUGUUGCGGUUAAAAAGCUCGUAGUUGAAUUUCUGGAAAUAAAUUUGUGAUUGAUUUAACCGUCUUGAUCAAAAAUUAUUAUCAUACUUGGUGAGUGGAAACAUUUACCUUAAUUACUUUGAAAAAAUUAGAGUGUUCAAAGCAAGAUUCACAUCUGAAUAAUACAGCAUGGGAUAAUAUAAUAUGACAUUAGUUAAAAUUUGUUGGUUUCUUUGGCUAAUGUAAUGAUUAAAAGGGACAGUUGGGGUAAUUUAUAUUGGUCGGGGAGGGGUGAAAUCCUAUGAUCCUUCCAAGAUAAACUAGUGCGAAAGCAUUUUACCAGGAUGUUUUCAUUAAUCAGGAACGAAAGUUGGGGGAUCGAAGAUGAUCAGAUACCGUCGUAGUCUCAACCAUAAACUAUGUCGACUAAGGAUGAUAAAAUAUUAAAUGAAUGAUUUUUGUCGCACUUUACAAGAAAUUAUAAGUAUUCAGACUCCGGGGGAGUAUGGUCGCAAGGCUGAAACUUAAAGGAAUUGACGGAAGGGCACCACCAGGAGUGGAACCUGCGGCUUAAUUUGACCCAACACGGGGAAACUUACUAGGUCAGGACACAGUAAGGAUUGACAGAUUGAAAGCUCUUUCUUGAUUUUGUGGAUGGUGGUGCAUGGCCGUUUUUAGUUGGUGGAUUGAUUUGUCUGGUUAAUUCCGAAAACGAUCGAGACCUUAACCUGUUAACUAUGUGAUAUUAAAAUUCGUUCUCGGACUAAAUAUUUGAUAUUAAAAAUUCAAUACUUCUUAAAGGAACAAUUCAAACUUUAAUUGAAAGGAAGUUUAAGGCAAAAACAGGUCUGUGAUGCCCUUCGAUGUUCUGGGCUGCACGCGCGUUACACUGAUAUGUUCAAUAAGUUUUUAAAUUUCCUGGUCUGAAAAGAUUUGGUAAACUUUGAAAAGCAUAUCGUGAUUGGGAUAGUAUUUUGUAAUUAUCGCACUUGAACGAGGAAUUCCUAGUAGGGGCAAUUCAUCAAAUUGCCCCGAUUACGUCCCCGCCCUUUGUACACACCGCCCGUCGCUUCUACCGAUUGAAUAAUGCGAUGAGGAUUCAGGAUCGAAUAGAAUUAAUUGUUUGAAAGGAUAAUUAAGACUAUUUGCUAAUUUAUUCAAAUCUUAUUAUUUAGAGGAAGGAGAAGUCGUAACAAGGUU
rnacentral:rRNA from 1 species